AAAUAGUCAUGUAUGGGCAAUUUUGUUAGGACAUAUAAGAAAUGAAUGAUAAAAAGUAUUUGGAUACGUUCUAGUUAGAAGACGCUUGAAGCUGCAUGAGGAUCCUAAGAGCAGAUACAGCAUACUGCAGCGAUGUCAUAGCGAGGAAACAGGAAGCUUCAGAACUUAUCACGUGCAUUAAUAUUACUAUUAUUAUUGUUGCUGUUGUCAUUACGGGAGACGGAGACCAAUACAAAACUUUUGAGACAUCAUAAAAUAUGUAAUAAUAAUAUUUUAUGUAUUAAAUCAUACAUUGAAAAACGAAAACCGCAGGCAAUAAGAAUAAGGGAGAGAUUAUAAAAAAAACAAUCUUAUAAUAGCGUUCAGUAUUGUAAAUUAUAUUACCAUGUUUAUUCUAUAAUCUGGAAUACCAAUACUUAAUUGACGUACCUAUACAUAUUUUAUUGUUUGGUGUGUUGAGAUAAACGUGCUUGUAAAUCAUUAUGUAUCAUAUAAUUGGGCUAUUGGAAACAAAAACGUGUUUUAUUCGUUUUUUUAAACCAUUUUGUUUUUACCGAUCAUUAUAUUUUUGAAUAUUAUUUCGGAGCGAUUUAAGAUUCGAACACAGUACUACACCCAUGUCUACUGUAAGUAUGUGCAUGUAUAGUUAACGCAUUAAUAGUUUAUGACUGGAUUUAGGGUGAUUUAUUAACACGGUAUAACUGCCAAUUGUGUUAUUCAAUUUUGAAAAGGAGAUGUUAUGCUUGUAUUCAUUAUUAUUGUUAUAUUACUAUAUACGUUUCUAUAAUAUAACAGCAGCGUAAAUAUAUUACAAUGAUAAUGGUUCGGGUUGUAUUAUAAAUGUAUUAUUGAUAAAUUAUCUUGUGUGUGUUAACAAUAGUGUGGCGGGGCACCUGUAUAGAUUAUGAUGAUAUGAAACAUCAGAAAACGAAAUUAUUCAUCUGACGAAAAAAAUACAAAAAGACACAUUACAAUAUUUUAUCUAUUAUCAUCCGCUGUAUUGCUAUAACACGAUAACACGCCCGACGAAUUCGUUUACAAAAGCGGGUUCUUUAGAUAUUAUUUGAGAAUGGCGUACUUAUUAUUAUACUUUAAUAUAUAUACAUGCGUUCGAAUGUUUUAUUAUAUCGAUAGCGUGUGGAUCUCACAGAAAACUAACAUUUAUUUGCAUUUAAUAACUCGUGUCCCGGAAACAAAUAAAUGUAUACUAUUAGAAUGAUACGAAAUUAAUUAAAUAACCAACACUAACGCGCGGGCACGCGUUUCUGAAGUUCAGCAGUGGCAGCUGCUGUUAUUGUGGUAAGCUGUGACAAUUUUAAAACUUUACGAUCAAAAUUCCAAAUUGUUAAAAACAAUGAAUCAUAGCGAAAUCUUGCAAUAUUUAAUGCGUAGGUACCUUUCUCUCUCUGUAUAUAUAUAUACAUUAUACAUAUAGGUUUUACGGUAGAACAAAACGAUUUGUUUAUAACAACACCGAGUUUUAUAGAAUACGUUAUUUAAGAACGUAUAAUAAUACAUAAUUCAUCACACUCCACUCGUAUGCUGUGUUUGACGUGAUUUUUACAAUAAUC